GUAUAUUUUUGUUAUGACUAAUUUACUAAAGGAAGCAUCUCUUCGUUUAGGUUAACGGACGGAUACUCUGGAAGUGACCUUACUGCUUUGGCACGUGAUGCUGCUUUAGGACCAAUAAGAGAACUUUCUCCAUCAGAAGUCAAGUGUUUAGAUGCCAGUAAGGUUCGGAGAAUUCAAAUGAUCGAUUUUCUGGAGUCAUU